rnacentral:rRNA from 1 species
GGAGCUGCUCCUUUGACGUUAGCGGCGGACGGGUGAGUAACACGUGGGUAACCUACCUAUAAGACUGGAAUAACUCCGGGAAACCGGGGCUAAUGCCGGAUAACAUUUAGAACCGCAUGGUUCUAAAGUGAAAGAUGGUUCUGCUAUCACUUAUAGAUGGACCCGCGCCGUAUUAGCUAGUUGGUAAGGAACGGCUUACCAAGGCAACGAUACGUAGCCGACCUGAGAGGGUGAUCGGCCACACUGGAACUGAGACACGGUCCAGACUCCUACGGGAGGCAGCAGUAGGGAAUCCUCCGCAAUGGGCGAAAGCCUGACGGAGCAACGCCGCGUGAGUGAUGAAGGUCUUCGGAUCGUAAAACACUGUUAUUAGGGAAGAC